UACGUAGGGCGCAAGCGUUGUCCGGAAUUAUUGGGCGUAAAGAGCUCGUAGGCGGCUUGUCACGUCGAUUGUGAAAGCCCGAGGCUUAACCUCGGGUCUGCAGUCGAUACGGGCUAGCUAGAGUGUGGUAGGGGAGAUCGGAAUUCCUGGUGUAGCGGUGAAAUGCGCAGAUAUCAGGAGGAACACCGGUGGCGAAGGCGGAUCUCUGGGCCAUUACUGACGCUGAGGCGCGACAGCGUGGGGAGCAAACAGG
rnacentral:rRNA from 1 species